GGACUACACGGGUAUCUAAUCCUGUUUGCUCCCCACGCUUUCGUGUCUCAGCGUCAGUUGCGGUCCAGUAAGCCGCCUUCGCCACUGGUGUUCCUCCCAAUAUCUACGCAUUUAACCGCUACACUGGGAAUUCCGCUUACCUCUCCCGCACUCAAGCUUUCCAGUUUCAAGCGCAUGUAUGAGUUGAGCCCAUACCUUUAACGCCUGACUUAAAAAGCCGCCUACACACCCUUUACACCCAGUAAUUCCGGACAACGCUUGCCACCUACGUAUUACCGCGGCUGCUGGCAC
rnacentral:rRNA from 1 species